rnacentral:rRNA from 1 species
UGCAGUCGAACGGCAGCAUGAUCUAGCUUGCUAGAUUGAUGGCGAGUGGCGAACGGGUGAGUAAUACAUCGGAACGUGCCCUGUAGUGGGGGAUAACUAGUCGAAAGAUUAGCUAAUACCGCAUACGACCUGAGGGUGAAAGUGGGGGACCGCAAGGCCUCAUGCUAUAGGAGCGGCCGAUGUCUGAUUAGCUAGUUGGUGGGGUAAAGGCCCACCAAGGCGACGAUCAGUAGCUGGUCUGAGAGGACGAUCAGCCACACUGGGACUGAGACACGGCCCAGACUCCUACGGGAGGCAGCAGUGGGGAAUUUUGGACAAUGGGCGAAAGCCUGAUCCAGCAAUGCCGCGUGUGUGAAGAAGGCCUUCGGGUUGUAAAGCACUUUUGUCCGGAAAGAAAUGGCUCUGGUUAAUACCUGGGGUCGAUGACGGUACCGGAAGAAUAAGGACCGGCUAACUACGUGCCAGCAGCCGCGGUAAUACGUAGGGUCCAAGCGUUAAUCGGAAUUACUGGGCGUAAAGCGUGCGCAGGCGGUUGUGCAAGACCGAUGUGAAAUCCCCGAGCUUAACUUGGGAAUUGCAUUGGUGACUGCACGGCUAGAGUGUGUCAGAGGGGGGUAGAAUUCCACGUGUAGCAGUGAAAUGCGUAGAGAUGUGGAGGAAUACCGAUGGCGAAGGCAGCCCCCUGGGAUAACACUGACGCUCAUGCACGAAAGCGUGGGGAGCAAACAGGAUUAGAUACCCUGGUAGUCCACGCCCUAAACGAUGUCAACUAGUU